UACGUAGGGGGCAAGCGUUGUCCGGAUUUAUUGGGCGUAAAGAGCGUGUAGGCGGCCAGAUAGGUCCGUUGUGAAAACUGGAGGCUUAACCUCCAGCGGUCGAUGGAAACCAUUUGGCUAGAGUCCGGAAGAGGAGAGUGGAAUUCCUGGUGUAGCGGUGAAAUGCGCAGAGAUCGGAAAGAACACCAACGGCGAAAGCACUCUGCUGGGCCGACACUGACACUGAGAGACGAAAGCUAGGGGAGCGAAUGGG
rnacentral:rRNA from 1 species